rnacentral:rRNA from 1 species
CUAGUAGCUGGUUCCCUCCGAAGUUUCCCUCAGGAUAGCUGGUGCAUUUUAAAAUUAUGUUAAAUAAUCUUAUCUGGUAAAGCGAAUGAUUAGAGGCCUUAGGGUCGAAACGACCUUAACCUAUUCUCAAACUUUAAAUGGGUAAGAACCUCACCUUUCUUGAUAUGAAGGUUGAGGUUAUGAUAUAAUGUGCCCAGUGGGCCACUUUUGGUAAGCAGAACUGGCGCUGUGGGAUGAACCAAACGUAAUGUUACGGUGCCUAAAUUAACAACUCAUGCAGAUACCAUGAAAGGCGUUGGUUGCUUAAAACAGCAGGACGGUGGACAUGGAAGUCGUAAUCCGCUAAGGAGUGUGUAACAACUCACCUGCCGAAGCAACUAGCCCUUAAAAUGGAUGGCGCUUAAGUUGUAUACCUAUACAUUACCGCUAAAGUACAUGAUUUAUAAUACAAUUUCGGUUGUUUUUAUAAAUUUUGAAACUUUAGUGAGUAGGAGGGUACAAUGGUGUGCUUAGAAGUGUUUGGCGUAAGCCUGCAUGGAGCCGCCAUUGGUACAGAUCUUGGUGGUAGUAGCAAAUAAUCGAAUGAGACCUUGGAGGACUGAAGUGGAGAAGGGUUUCGUGUGAACAGUGGUUGAUCACGAGUUAGUCGGUCCUAAGUUCAAGGCGAAAGCCGAAAAUUUUCAAGUUUUAAUGA